UGACGUUGUUUGAUAUUAGGACUAGCAGUAAAACUUUAUAUUCUGUAAAAAAAGGCUUUUAUUUCCAGCGCCGCCUCCCAGAAUGCUUUGCAUGGGGACGUGCGUCUGACGUCACGUAUUCAGAAAAUUCGAAAUGGCUGCACGCGGGAGGUGAGGCCCGAGCGAAGAAAAGUGGAAAAGAGUGUUAUUCGUCAAAAAACCCACACAACGACGGUCAUUUUUUAGCCGUGCUAUUGUAAAAUUGUCUUUUAUCUGUGUUUUGUGAAGCCGUGGAGCUCGAGAUCCUGUUUACUGUGGACUAGCUGUGUGUGACGCCAUGUUGUUUUUGUUUCCAUUACAAAAAAAAAGCUCCACCGUCUCGCCGAGUGCCAGCAAGAGUCAUGAGUACUUGUCAACUCGACUCCUCAACUGGAGAUAACUUUCUAGCACCUCACCAUGGGGAAGGACGUAUUCAUAUGCCUUCACCAGCACCUG